rnacentral:sRNA from 1 species
UGAUAUGACUUAGGCACUAGUGUGA